rnacentral:hammerhead_ribozyme from 1 species
AUCCAGUUCACGAGUCCCAAAUAGGACGAAACGCGCGUCAAACUGGAU